UUAGAACAGAAACUGACACGUUGUAAAUGCUAAAAAAAAAAAAUUCAGCUAUUGUUGGUAUCAUUCCCAUUUUAAUGAUUAGAAAAUAGAUGUUUAUACUAACAGUUUUCACAAAUGGGAUACAGUAAAAACAUUUAAAACUGGUUUACAUGAUUAUAAACCCAGGUUAGAAGGAUUCUCAAAUGUAUGUUUCCAGCUCAACUUCUUGAUGAAGACAACAAACCCAGUGAAAAUAACUGAAAGACUGGAAUUCAGAUGGCCAGAGUGGAGCAACCAUUUCAACACCCAAGAUAUUUGCUAAAGACUACAAAAGGUCUUGGGCACCACCAGGUGUCUGCAGUUAUCUUCAAGGGCUGACAGGUAAGUUGGUCUUUGGUGAGUGGAGUUAUCUGAAAUGGCCAGUGGCAGCAGGGAUCAACUCAAGAAGGCAACUUCUCAGUGAAGCGACGUGUUAUGGGGCAAGAGAUUUAGCAUAGUAAGUAAG
rnacentral:lncRNA from 1 species